GACAGAGGUGCCGAGCGUUAGGCGGAAUCACUGGGCUUAAAGCGUGUGUAGGCGGACUCGUAAGUGCUUUGUGAAAUCCCACGGCUCACCCGUGGAACUGCUUGGCAUACUGCGAGCCUUGAGCCACUUAGGGGCAACCGGAACAAACGGUGGAGCGGUGAAAUGCGCAGAUAUCAGGAGGAACACCGGUGGCGAAGGCGGGUCUCUGGGCCGAUACUGACGCUGAGGAGCGAAAGCGUGGGGAGCGAACAGG
rnacentral:rRNA from 1 species